CAGAGCUUCCUCAGAAAAGGUGUUAAUUAUUAGUUGGUGUGUGUAAAUGCACAAACCUCCUACUCUGCUUUUCCCCACUGUAGUCUUUUUGUCGCUGCGGUGCAUUGUGCGGCCUGCAAGCUGCAUCGAGGUGUCAGGAAUUUCCUUGUAGCCAUGUCUCUGUGACACAAUAGUCGCGGACGAGUGGCUGUGCAGCGAGAAGUAGGUUCAGUUUGUCUGUUUUGUUGACGACCGACUGUGCGUUGGUCAGGAAGAUGCUGGGGAGCGGUGGUUUAAAAGGCUGCUUCUUUAGCCUGGCUAGCAGGCCUGACCGGCAUUUGUUUGCAUUCCUUCCGCCGCCUGCGUUGCUUGGCAGAGCCGAUAACAAUCCACGGAGCACCUGAUGUUCUCGCUAUCUCUGGAGGGAUGUUGUUGAUCUGGCUGUUAUAUAUCCGACAUUAACGGGAAUCUGGCUGUUAUAUCCGAUGUUGCAUAAUUCCAGAAAAUUGUAGGUAAAUUUGGCUUUGCAAUAAGAAAAACAAAAGGAAAAGAAAGGAAAAGCACCUAAGUGGAGAAAAGAAAUGCACGCUGGUUUCCAUGGCAAGACUCACUGCUUCCACUCUGCAGUUUGCUUCUCCCAACCAAUCAUUUCACCGCUCUCACCUAGCUGUCCUCCUGCCUGAAACAGUCCCUGUUCGGGCGCCACUCUGUAACGUGGUCUGGCAAGGAAAGAGCAGCUAGCAGGUCCAGCGGGUGUGUGGUGUGGAGGUUAGCCGGACAACUUGAAGGCCAAUCAGUUAAAUAGAACAAAAGACCUUUAUUUGGCAUUAACAGAACAAGACCAUACAAGCCAGAUCUCCACUGCUAUACCCUAUUUGUACAUACAUGUGCUGGGGUUAGGUAGUCGCCGGCGCCAGGCAAUUACAGUGGUACGAUCUCUCUAAACAGAUGCACAGAGAGCAGCAUCUUCAGCUGUAAUGGCUGCCGCUGCACUCACACUAGGAGACUCUCCAACUACUACAAUAACUGGACAACGGUGCUAUACCAUAAUAAGGGUUGUUAGACACCUCUGCAUCGCUCACCAUUCAGGAUGCUCAUCUGGCAAUAACCCCACCAGAGUCUCACGCUCUCCACCUGCAAACUCUUUCCCCAGGAUCAUUGCAGUCAUCCCCAGCCACUCCGUCACCGCUGGAUCUUUCCGCUGUCCCUGACGACAUCCUGAUAUUCUCUAAGUCCCUGGAGAAACAUCGAGUCCACGUCUGCUGCAUACUGCAGUGCCUCCUGGAGAACCUGUUAUAUGUCAAUACAGAGAAAUGUGAGUUUCAUUCCCCUUCAGUCACUUUCCUUGGUUACACGCCAGCAGGAGGGCAGGUGAAGGCCAACGAGUCCUCAGCUUUGGUACCUUCUACCAUUGCUUCAUCCUGAAUAACCGCAGGAAAAAGCAAGGUCAGAACCUCUUACUUUCACUCACUAUUCAUGACGCUCUCUGGCAAUGCCCCCACCGGGAUUACGCUCUCCACCUGCAAAAGUCUAUCCAAAGAGGCAGUGUAUAUCCUGGAUGCCAAAUCCAUGUCUUUGGACUGUGGGAGGAAGCUGGAGCAAUGGGCGAGAACCAACGCAAACAUGGGGAGAACAUUCAAACUGCACACAGAAAGGCCAUGGCCAGAUGGGGGAUUCAUAUCCAGGACCUUCUUGCCAAAAGGCAAUAGUGCUAACCUUUGUGCUACCAUGCUACCCUGCGCUAAAUUUUACUUCACUGUAAAUGAGAAAAAAUCAUGAAGUUCUUUGUUAUUUUUUGACAUAUUUAUGUUCACAUUAGUAAAGAAUGAGCAAAUCAUUCUAGUUUGUUUUGAGAUGAUACAAUUUAAA